ensembl:lncRNA
AAUUAAACUGGGUUUUCCUUUGUUGAAUGCUUGCCUUGGAAGCAGCGUAGCAGAGCCUGCAAGAUCAUCUUGCUGCAUGCAGAGUUUCUAUGCUGAUGGACGGAGUGAGAAAUAAUGAGAGUUCAUAGCAACCCCAAGGUUGUGUGGCUCUGCAGAUGUGAGCUGUGUACAUCUGGUCUGCAGAAAAUUCAUCAGCAAUGGACUGCAAAGGAGAUGCCUGCAUGUUAUCACAGUGGACAGCAGGAGGAAGCAGGUCUUCAUGAGCUUCAACUGGCAAGGUUCAACAGGAGCAAGCAAAGCUUUUUGUGCCCUUCCAACGUCCCCUUCUCCUCCCUGACUCUCUGCUCCCUGGAGGUUCCCUUCAGCCCGACCAGUCUGAGGAUUUCAGCAGGGCAUGAAGUCACUACUCAAGAAAAGCCAGUCCUAAAGCACCUUCCAGCAGUGGCCUGAGGACAGGAGCC